rnacentral:rRNA from 1 species
AAAUUGAAGAGUUUGAUCAUGGCUCAGAUUGAACGCUGGCGGCAGGCCUAACACAUGCAAGUCGAGCGGAAACGAGUUAUCAGAACCUUCGGGGGACGAUA